UUGUGAUUCAGUGUUGUUUUUGUUAGAAAACGUAAAAUUAAAUAGAAAUGGGAGAAAUAUAUGACCUAAACAUUCCUUCAAUAUCUUGUUUUGCCUUAAACAACAACAGCACAACUCUCGUUGCUUCCCCGUCAAACAAGGAAAUCCGUGUUUACAAACUCACUGGCAAAAAAUGGGAGUACUCCGAGACCUUAGGACAACAUACUCAAACUGUCACUCGACUUAGCUGGUAUCCCAAUCAAGACAAGUUUCUGUCGUGUUCUUCCGUAAGCAAUCUCCACCAAUUUUAGGACAGAAAUGCCUUUGUCUGGUCGUUGGAGAAUGGCAAGUGGACUCCCCAGUUGGUUGUCCUCGGAAUCAAGUUUAGUGCCUGUUGUGGGUCGGUCUCUCCCAAAGGACAGAAAUUGGGAGUUGGUUGUAGUGACAAACUCGUUUCUGUGUGCUUCUACCGAAAGUCUGAUAAUUGGUAUACAGGAAAGAGGAUUAAGAAGCCUAUUUUGUCCACAAUUACAUGGUUGUGUGUUUUGGGUCACAUUAGUAUUGACUGGCACCCUGAUGAGGUCAUGUUGGCU